UAUCUCUGUAGAGUCUGCAUAUCAAUAAGCGGAGGAAAAGAAACUAACAAGGAUUCCCUUAGUAACGGCGAGUGAAGCGGGAAGAGCUCAAAUUUGAAAUCUUCAAGGUUCUACCUUGACGAAUUGUAGUUUAAAGAAGUGUUUUCUGUUGGAGUUGAGUACAAAGUUCUUUGGAAUAGGACAUCAUAGAGGGUGAGAAUCCCGUAUUUGACCAUUACUUUCCAGCUGUUGUGAUACACUUUCAAAGAGUCGGAUUGUUUGGGAAUGCAGUCCCAAAAUGGGUGGUAAAUUUCAUCUAAAGCUAAAUAUUGGCGAGAGACCGAUAGCGAACAAGUACCGUGAGGGAAAGAUGAAAAGAACUUUGAAAAGAGAGUUAAGCAGUACGUGAAAUUGUCAAAAGGGAAGCGUUUGACACCAGUGUUGUUUUCUCGAAAAUCAAUUAAAAAAGGCAGGAUUUUGUGUUGUAUUGACUUUAUCAGCUUUCUGCACUCUUUUCUUGUCUUUUUUUAAUGCACUUUUCGUUUAACAAGUCAACAUCAAUUUCUUUUGUUGUAAAAGGGUCAUUGGAAGGUGGCUUUCUUUUCGGAGAAAGUGUUUAUAGCCUUUGGCCUCUGCAAUCGGAGAGAUUGAGGUCUGCAGCGUAGAUCCUUCGGGGUUAGAUACAUUUGUGCUAAGUUAUAGCCUUUCAUAGACAACUUGUUGACUAUGAUCAGUCAUGUAGCUUACUCGCUUAUGCUAUUUUACCUACGCUUAGGAUGUUGAAGAUGUAGCACAUCAU
rnacentral:rRNA from 1 species